GUCCACGCCAUAAACGAUGAGGACUAGACGUUGAGAGGGUUAGCCUCCCAGUGUCGCAGCUAACGCGCUAAGUCCUCCGCCUGGGGAGUACGGCCGCAAGGUUGAAACUCAAAGGAAUUGACGGGGACCCCGCACAAGCGGUGGAGCAUGUGGUUUAAUUCGAUGCAACGCGAAGAACCUUACCUGGUCUUGACAUCUACGGAAUCCUGCAGAAAUGUGGGAGUGCCGCAAGGAACCGUAAGACAGGUGCUGCAUGGCUGUCGU
rnacentral:rRNA from 1 species